UGGGGAAUAUUGCACAAUGGGCGCAAGCCUGAUGCAGCCAUGCCGCGUGUAUGAAGAAGGCCUUCGGGUUGUAAAGUACUUUCAGUCGGGAGGAAGGUGUCAAGGUUAAUAACCUUGGCAAUUGACGUUACCGACAGAAGAAGCACCGGCUAACUCCGUGCCAGCAGCCGCGGUAAUACGGAGGGUGCAAGCGUUAAUCGGAAUUACUGGGCGUAAAGCGCACGCAGGCGGUUGAUUGAGUCAGAUGUGAAAUCCCCGGGCCUAACCCGGGAAUUGCAUCUGAUACUGGUCAGCUAGAGUCUUGUAGAGGGGGGUAGAAUUCCGUGUGUAGCGGUGAAAUGCGUAGAGAUGUGGAGGAAUACCGGUGGCGAAGGCGGCCCCCUGGACAAAGACUGACGCUCAGGUGCGAAAGCGUGGGGAGCAAACAGG
rnacentral:rRNA from 1 species